rnacentral:misc_RNA from 1 species
GAAAUGCGAUAAGUAAUGUGAAUUGCAGAAUUCAGUGAAUCAUCGAAUCUUUGAACGCACAUUGCGCCCGCCAAUAUUCUGGCGGGCAUGCCUGUUCGAGCGUCAUUUCAACCAUCAAGCCCCGGGCUUGUGUUGGGGACCUGCGGCUGCCGCAGGCCCUGAAAACCAGUGGCGGGCUCGCUGUCACACCGAGCGUAGUAGAUUCUCAUCUCGCUCAGGGCGUGCUGCGGGUUCCGGCCGUAAAACAGCCUUAUUUUACCCAAGGUUGACCUCGGAUCAGGUAGGAAGACCCGCUGAACUUAAGC